CUAUAAACAAAAAUUCCUUCUUCUAAACUACUGGAAAGACUGUCAUGACGCAUGGCUCCACACGGGAGGCUGCCUGGUUGACAUCUUGAAGCUCCUCCACGGAGGAUUACCAGGCGGCCUCCCGGGUGGAGGGGGAUUACCCCUCGAUGACCCUCCUGCAGCCGAUGCGCCUUCGGCACCUGCCCCUGCCGGAGGAUCAUCAGCAGCCACAGAUACAGCAACAACAGUGCUGGAUGGUGAUGAUGAUGCAGGGGCGGGUGGGGCAGGAGGGCUACCAGGAAUCCCCGGAAUCGGAGGGGGAAUCCCUGGAAUCGGAGGGGGAAUCCCUGGAAUAGGUGGUGGGAUCCCG
rnacentral:lncRNA from 1 species